AUGAUCAUACUUCAUAGGAUCAAUUCUAUAGUGUGAUUGCCGAGUCCCUCGUCUAGAAACUCGGAUCAAAUUCAACCACGAUGAAGACCUUGAGUGUGAUUCUCUUAGCGGGAAGCUGCUCUUGAAUUCUUAAGAGCAUUGAUGACCGUUCUGGCUCGGUCUGCCGAAGUUCAGGGGAGGAUCGCACAGGCUGAGUGGU
rnacentral:snoRNA from 1 species